rnacentral:misc_RNA from 1 species
UUUCCGUAGGUGAACCUGCGGAAGGAUCAUUACUGUAGGGGCCUCACCGCCCCUGCUGAGAUUACCCAUUGUCUUUGGAGCACCGCACGUUUCCUCGGCAGGUCCGCUUGCCAAUGGGGACCCACCGAAACCCUUUGCAGUAGUUGCAGUAAACGUCUGAAACAAAAUUAAUCAAAACUUUCAACAACGGAUCUCUUGGUUCUGGCAUCGAUGAAGAACGCAGC